rnacentral:rRNA from 1 species
UAAUUGAAGAGUUUGAUCAUGGCUCAGAUUGAACGCUGGCGGCAGGCCUAACACAUGCAAGUCGAGCGGUAACAGGGGAAGCUUGCUUCUCGCUGACGAGCGGCGGACGGGUGAGUAAUGUAUGGGGAUCUGCCCGAUAGAGGGGGAUAACUACUGGAAACGGUAGCUAAUACCGCAUAAUCUCUCAGGAGCAAAGCAGGGGAACUUCGGUCCUUGCGCUAUCGGAUGAACCCAUAUGGGAUUAGCUAGUAGGUG